UAGAUCUUUAGCUAUUUGGUUUCUACAUCC
rnacentral:piRNA from 1 species